CCAUCUCCCGUCUCUCACCCCACACUCAAAAAACUCUAACGUCACAUCCCUCCGCCGUGCGCUGCCGGCCGGAAAUCGCCGCUACCACCGGCAGUGUCCCAAAUGGCACCAAAAUUACACCAAUGAUUCUCCACGCCCUCCCUUAUCCAAAUCUGUAACCCGUUUCCCUCAAAUAGUAUCUCAUCGAAUAUUCAAUUGAAACGCCGGCUGCUCUGCCGUGUACGGCGGCGCCGACACCAAAUUGUCUCAAAAUAACACUACAUAGCUACCAUCUCCCCUUCGUGCCAAAUCUUCAUGCAUAACCCACAGAAUCCCUCUCGAUCUCGUCAAAUGUUAAAUCUAAAGUUAGAAUCCUCAACUUCGCAGAGGUCACUAGGACGGACAUGCAUGGGUUACUGAGACGAUUUAAGCGGGGUAAGGGGUGUACUUGCAUAUUUCUCAAAAGGAAUGAUCAUUUGACACACAUUUCUGGGUUCAAAUUAGAAUGAGAAUGGUUCUGUCGGGGUCAUUGGUUGCUGUAUAGCAGGUAUUCAUUCGCCUCCUCUUGUUUUGUUGUUUUUAAAAUAAGGAAAUCCUCUGAGUUUGUGUUUAGUCUCCCUCUGUUAUGAUUAAGAUGGUUUAGUUUAUGAGUUUUCAUAGAUGUCAUUAGCUUUUCUAUUCGUCUAAGUUGGUUUAGCUUGCCCUGAGCAAAGGGCGUUUGAAAAUCAAUUUGUUAUUCUCUUAUUGGUUCUUUGGCAAUUCGAUUUAAUGUUUGGCCUUCAUUUAUCAGUGUAUCUUUCUUUAAGUCAUUAUUUUCCCGUUGCUUGAUUUAAUUGUUAGUCCUUAGGCAAUCAUUUUGUUCGUGAUUUAAGUUUUAGCUGUUUAUUCUCUUCUUCUACUUCUGGACAAUGAAAAAGUACCAUAGGUCUGUCGAGAUUUCUGAAUUGGGUUGAAGUAGGUUGAACAAAGCCUAGUUAAGAAUUAAUGCUAAGGUAGGUAAAGUAAUUUAAGGGUAACUUGGGUAGUUUAAGCUAAAGAAUAUUGUAAUAAUGGAAUAGAAGUCUCUAGAGGUUUUUAGUGUGGGGGUUCAAAUUGGAUUUCAGGAUUUUUGGUAAUAAACUUGGUGAACAAGUCACAAAAUUAGGGGCCUAAGGGGUAAAAUAAAAUCCGAAGGGUUGCCCUAUUGGCUUGCCUAAAAAGAUACCUUUUCUUACCUUAGAAGGCAUACCUAAUUGAUAGAAAAAUCAGAAAAAUCAAAAGAAUCGAAGAGCUAAAAUCUUGUUGACAAAAAUUCCAAGAGCUGAAAUAUAGAGUUAAGAUUUCCAAAAGCUAAAAAUUCAGAAAAAAUCGAAACAUGCUAGAAAAACAGAAUUUACUGUUUCAUUAUGUCUUUUCUUUGAGCUGUAAGGAUUUGGAUCUACUGAAGUCAUUUUCUGGUUUUUGACGGGUUUUAAAUGGAUUGAAAUUCGAUUUUUCAAGCUGGUUUUUGUAAGUUGGAUUUGGUGAUACAUCUGGGGGUUUCAAGCUUGAAGUUGGGUUUGGAUCUUGAGUUCUUGCUGUUGAUUUCUACUACUAUUGAUUACUCCUUCCACUUCUUAUUUUCCUUACUCCCCAUGUACUUAUUCUCGAUUGUGGAGAUGUACUCCUCUGUUUGAAGAUGAAAUAAGAGCUGAAGCAUGAAAAUUCUCUCUGUUUCUUUGUUUUUUUAUUUAUCUUUACUAUUAGCCUUUGGUCUAAAUUAGCUUUUCGUAUAUGGUUGUAAUAGUCAAUAGAAAUAACAAAGUAUUCAUGAUUUAGUCUGCUGGAUGUUCCUUUUAAUUACAUUCUAUUAUUGUUCAAUGAGGCAGAGGCAUCUAUCUUUGUGUAGUAAAUAUCCUGUUAUUCGUAGUAGUUAGACAGGGAUGAACCAGGUUUAUUUGGUACAUGAUAUUCAUAUUGCUUUGUGUUUCUCCUUGCCGGGUUAUUUUCCCUGAAUACAGUAGUAUGAGAAAGUUCAUAUUGAAAAUGUUUGACAUAGGUUUCAAUGAAAAGUCAAAUGAAGCUACGUUAGUCUUUGAUUUGAUAUUUAGUCUAUUUGGAUGAUGAAAUGUAGAUGUAACAUUUCAGAAGAACAGUUCAUGUAUGGAGAUCAAUCUUUUAAAAUAUGCUCAUGUUUGAUUAUAUCAGUUAUCGUGCACUCGGUAUGAGUUUUCCUUGCACAUAUGCUUGUUUUCGGAUAUGUUAAGUUAGUU
rnacentral:lncRNA from 1 species